rnacentral:rRNA from 1 species
GUAGGUGGCAAGCGUUGUCCGGAAUUAUUGGGCGUAAAGCGCGCGCAGGUGGUUCUUUAAGUCUGAUGUGAAAGCCCCCGGCUCAACCGGGGAGGGUCAUUGGAAACUGGGGAACUUGAGUGCAGGAGAGGAAAGUGGAAUUCCACGUGUAGCGGUGAAAUGCGUAGAUAUGUGGAGGAACACCAGUGGCGAAGGCGACUUUCUGGCCUGUAACUGACACUGAGGCGCGAAAGCGUGGGGAGCAAACAGGGAUUAGAUACCCUGGUAGUCCACGCCGUAAACGAUGAGUGCUAAGUGUUGGGGGGGUUUCCGCCCCCGUCAGUGCUGCAGCUAACGCAUUAAGCACUCCGCCUGGGAGUACGGUCGCAAGACUG